CCUACGGGGGGCUGCAGUGAGGAAUAUUGGUCCAUGGACGGAAGUCUGAACCAGCCAUGCCGCGUGCAGGAAGACGGCUCUAUGAGUUGUAAACUGCUUUUGUACAAGGGUAAACCUGAAUACGUGUAUUCAGCUGAAAGUACUGUACGAAUAAGGAUCGGCUAACUCCGUGCCAGCAGCAGCGGUAAUACGGAGGAUCCAAGCGUUAUCCGGAUUUGUUGGGUUUAAAGGGUGCGUAGGCGGAUUGAUAAGUGAGGGGGGAAAUGUCCGAGCUUAACUCGGGAACUGCCUCUAAUACUGUUGAUCUAGAGAGUAGAUGCGGUAGGCGGAAUGUAUGGUGUAGCGGUGAAAUGCUUAGAGAUCAUACAGAACACCGAUUGCGAAGGCAGCUUACCAAUCUAUAUCUGACGUUGAGGCACGAAAGCGUGGGGAGCAAACAGGAUUAGAUACCCGGGUAGUC
rnacentral:rRNA from 1 species